ensembl:snRNA U6 U6 spliceosomal RNA
GUGCCCACUUCUUUAGCACAUGUACUAAAAUUGGACAAUAGAGAGAUUAGCAUCGUACCUACACAAGGAUGGCAUACAAAUUUGUUAUGUGUUUCAUAUUUUU